CCUACGGGAGGCAGCAGUGAGGAAUAUUGGUCAAUGGGCGCGAGUCUGAACCAGCCAAGCCGCGUGAAGGAUGACUGCCCUACGGGUUGUAAACUUCUUUUAUAAAGGAAUAAAGUCAGGUACCCGUGCCUUUUUGUAUGUACUUUAUGAAUAAGGAUCGGCUAACUCCGUGCCAGCAGCCGCGGUAAUACGGAGGGUCCGAGCGUGAUCCGGAUUUAUUGGGUUUAAAGGGAGCGUAGAUGGGUUGUUAAGUUAGAUGUGAAAGUUUGCGGCUCAACCGUGUAAUUGCAUUUGAUACUGGCAGUCUUGAGAAUAGUUGAGGUAGGCGGAAUUCGUGGUGUAGCGGUGAAAUGCUUAGAUAUCACGAAGAACACCGAUUGCGAAGGCAGCUUACUAAGCUGCCACUGACAUUGAUGCUCGAAAGUGUGGGUAGCAAACAGGAUUAGAUACCCCUGUAGUC
rnacentral:rRNA from 1 species